rnacentral:rRNA from 1 species
AUUGAACGCUGGCGGCAGGCCUAACACAUGCAAGUCGAACGAGUGGCGGACGGGUGAGUAAUGUCUGGGAAACUGCCUGAUGGAGGGGGAUAACUACUGGAAACGGUAGCUAAUACCGCAUACCAUCGGAUGUGCCCAGUGGGGAUUAGCUAGUCGGUGGGGUAAAGGCUGACCUAGGCGAAGAUCCCUAGCUGGUCUGAGAGGAUGACCAUCAAAACUGAAACUGAGACAGGGUCCGGAUUCCUACGGGAGGCAGCAUGGGGGAAUAUUGCACAAUGGGCGCAAGCCUGAGGCAGCCAUGCCGCGUGUGUGAAGAAGGCCUUCGGGGUGUAAAGCACUUUCAGCGAGGAGGCGUUACUCGCAGAAGAAGCACCGGCUAACCCCGUGCCGGCAGCCGCGGUAAUUC